rnacentral:rRNA from 1 species
ACAACGAAGAGUUUGAUCCUGGCUCAGGAUGAACGCUAGCGGCAGGCCUAACACAUGCAAGUCGAGGGGCAGCAUAGUAGCAAUACUGAUGGCGACCGGCGCACGGGUGCGUAACGCGUAUGCAACCUGCCUUAUACAGGGGGAUAGCUUUCGGAAACGAGAAUUAAUACCCCAUAACAUUUUGGUAAACCUUUACUGAAAUUAAAAGCUCCGGCGGUAUAAGAUGGGCAUGCGUGACAUUAGCUAGUUGGGGGGGUAACGGCCCACCAAGGCGACGAUCAUUAGGGGUUCUGAGAGGAAGAUCCCCCACACUGGUACUGAGACACGGACCAGACUCCUACGGGAGGCAGCAGUGAGGAAUAUUGGUCAAUGGGCGCAAGUCUGACCCAGCCAUGCCGCGUGCAGGAAGAAUGCCCUAUGGGUUGUAAACUGCUUUUAUACGGGGCGAAUUCUAUUACGAGUAAUAGGUUGACGGUACCAUACGAAUAAGGAUCGGCUAACUCCGUGCCAGCAGCCGCGGUAAUACGGAGGAUCCGAGCGUUAUCCGGAUUUAUUGGGUUUAAAGGGUGCGUAGGCGGUUCAUUAAGUCAGUGGUGAAAUCAUCGGGCUCAACCCGGUCAUUGCCAUUGAUACUGGUAGACUUGAGUACAGAUGACGUAGGCGGAAUUGGACAAGUAGCGGUGAAAUGCAUAGAUAUGUCCAAGAACACCGAUUGCGAAGGCAGCUUACGAAACUGUAACUGACGCUGAUGCACGAAAGCGUGGGUAUCGAACAGGAUUAGAUACCCUGGUAGUCCACGCCGUAAACGAUGAUUACUGGUUGUUUGUUUGAAUAGAUAAGCGACUGAACGAAAGUAUUAAGUAAUCCACCUGGGGAGUACGUUGGCAACAAUGAAACUCAAAGGAAUUGACGGGGGCCCGCACAAGCGGAGGAACAUGUGGUUUAAUUCGAUGAUACGCGAGGAACCUUACCCGGGCUUAAAUGUAGAGUGCAUAAAGCAGAGAUGUUUUUUUCCUUCACGGGACUCUUUACAAGGUGCUGCAUGGUUGUCGUCAGCUCGUGCCGUGAGGUGUCGGGUUAAGUCCCAUAACGAGCGCAACCCUUGUCGUUAGUUGCCAUCAGGUUAAGCUGGGCACUCUAGCGAGACUGCCGCCGUAAGGCGCGAGGAAGGCGAGGAUGACGUCAAAUCAGCACUGCCUUACGUCCUGGGCUACACACGUGUUACAAUGGCCGGUACAGAGGGCAGCUACACCGCGAGGUGAUGCAAAUCUCGAAAGCCGGUCUCAGUUCGGAUUGGAGUCUGCAACUCGACUCCAUGAAGCUGGAUUCGCUAGUAAUCGCAUAUCAGCCAUGAUGCGGUGAAUACGUUCCUGGGCCUUGUACACACCGCCCGUCAAGCCAUGGAAGCCGAGGGUACCUGAAGGCUGUAACCGCAAGGAGCGGUCUAGGGUAAAACUGGUAACUGGGGCUAAGUCGUAACAAGGUAGCCGUACCGGAAGGUGUGGCUGGAACACCUCCUUU